CUCUCUGCUUUAAUUCACCAUCCUUUAUCAAUUCGUGCUGGACAACUUCCACUUCUUCACCUUUCCUCUCGAUCUCUCCCUCCUCAUUAUUUUUAUUCUUAUUUUUCUUUGUCACGCAGCAGGUAGCAGCGGCGGCGCAAGGCAGGGAGAGGAGAGCCUGUCAGGAGGACUGCUGCUGCUGGGCUCAGUGUGAGUGGCGGCAGUGGUUGGAUCCGUCACACCACCGGCGACGAUGAGCGAAGGUGUGGAGACGGCCGCGCCACAUUGAUUGGGGGCCGUGUUGUGGUUACCGCCAUGGCCCAGGACUCCCUCACUUCGUCUCACAGUCGCCCCGCCACCAUUAGGACCAUGGUAGCCUCACCUGAAGCUGCAUCACACACUGCUGAUGUCCAGCAAGUCAAGGUGAAAAACAUCUCUAAACAGCGGUCUGGUGCAGAGGAUACAACACACAUGCAGGUCCUCAACUUUCAUCCAGUUCUGGGGCAAGUCAAGUCCUUUGGCA